rnacentral:rRNA from 1 species
AAUGAACGCUGGCGGCAUGCCUAACACAUGCAAGUCGAACGAGACCACCGGGUCCUGUGGCGUACGGGUGCGUAACGCGUGGGAACCUGCCCUCAGGUUUGGCCUAACUCUCCGAAAGGGGUGCUAACACCGGAUCAGGUCUUCGGACCAAAGAUUUAUUGCCCUGGGAUGGGCCCUCGUGGGAUUAGCUUGUUGUUAGGGUAAGAGCUUACCACGGCGCGAAUUCAUAGCUGGGUAGAGAGGAUGAUCAGCCACACUGGGAUUCAGAACCGGCCGGGACUCCUACGCGAGGCGGGAGAGGGGGAUAGUGGACCGUGGGGGGAGGGAUGAAGGAGCAAGGACGCGUGAGUGAUGAAAGCCUGAAAGAAGUAAAGCUCAUGUAACCGGGAUGAUAAUGACGGUACCGGGAGAGUAAGCUCCGGCUAACUACGUG